rnacentral:rRNA from 1 species
CCUGUUUAUCAAAAACAUCUCUAGUCCCGCGGCUGGUAGACUCUGCUCAGUGAUUAUUAAAUAGCCGCAGUAUUCUAACUGUGCUAAGGUAGCAUAAUAAUUAGGCUUAUAAUAGAAGUCUGGAAUGAAGGAGCUGACGAUUUUUAGGCUUUCUUAGUUAAAAAUUUGGAAUUUUAUAUUUAAGUAAAAAAGCUUAACUUUUUAGAAAGACGAUAAGACCCUAUAAAGCUUUACUAAUAGCCGGGGGGGCACCUCGGGUAGGCUCUGCGGAGUUAGUUGAGCUGGGGCGGCAGUAAAUAUUCUUUUACAGAGAAAACAAAAUAAUUGAGAACUGAGACCUAGUGAAAUUUAGAUCAAGCUACUUUAGGGAUAACAGCGCAAUUUUUUUAGAGAGAACAUAUCGAUAAAAAAGACUUGCGACCUCGAUGUUGAAUUGAGGGGCCUAAAUUAAGCAAAAAUAAUUUCAGGAAGUCUGUUCGACUUUUAAUUCCUCACGUGAUCUGAGUGCAGACC